AGCGGAGGAAAAGAAACCAACAGGGAUUGCCUUAGUAGCGGCGAGUGAAGCGGCAAAAGCUCAAAUUUGGAAUCUGCCAGCAAUGGCCGAGUUGUAAUUUGUAGAUGGUAACUCUGUAAGGAGUCUUUGCUCAAGUUUCCUGGAAUGGAAUAUCAUGGAGGGUGACAAUCCCGUGAGGCAUUGACGUACUUGCGUGUAGAGUGCUAUCAAAGAGUCGAGUUGUUUGGGAAUGCAGCUCAAAGUGGGUGGUAGACACCAUCUAAAGCUAAAUAUUGGCGAGAGACCGAUAGCGAACAAGUACUGUGAAGGAAAGAUGAAAAGCACUUUGAAAAGAGAGUGAAAAAGUACGUGAAAUUGUUAAUAUGGAAGGGUAUAAGAUUAGACAUGAAGCUUUGAGUUCGGCAGUCUCUCGGGAUUGUUUUGUCUCUUAGUUUCGCACCAGCAUCAGUUUUGGCAGGAGGAUAAACAACAUGGAAUGUAGCUGCUUGCAGUGUUAUAGACUUGUUGCAUACUCUUUGCCGGGAUUGAGGUCAGCCUUUGUAGGAUGCUGGGGUAAUGAUCUUAUACCACCCGUCUUG
rnacentral:rRNA from 1 species